rnacentral:lncRNA from 1 species
AUGCAUGUAGAUAAGAAGAACUUUUCAGCCUUAAAUACAUACUGUGAUUGUGGCUCCGUGUCCGCAAAGCACACUGAAGCGUAUAGAAGCAAAGGUGAAGACAUCAAGGAGUGCCAAGUGGCAAGUGACCAUAUGAAAGGACAACUACAAGACAUUGAAACCAAGAGCCAGGCCAGACUGCAGGAGGAUGGACGUAUCCCAUGUCAGAGCACAAGUCAUGGGAGAAGGAGGAUCAGGCACGUUAACACAGGCAAAAUCCAGGGGAUACCACCAAGGUAAGCAGGGAAGGUAAGGCUGUGCCAUCAACGUAGGUGACAUCCAGGUGAGCCAGGGCCAGAAACGCGGUCCAAAGAGACAAGCAUCCAGGAUUCAAACUUGCUCUAGGCAGGCAGCUAAGAUUGGUUGCCAGAAUAGGAAUUCCAUUCUGUCAAGCAGGACUGGAUUAGGAAUUUUGCCUUAGAAUUCUAGGGAGGAGGUUAGAUGCCUGCAGUUUCACAAGAGAAGUUUGGAAAGUGAAUGACAGAAAUUCAGCAGAGGCCCCAAACCAACUUGCACCUGGAUGUUUAGUUCCCCGCACCCUAGAGCGACUGCCAGAUGACAGACACAAGGGAGGUGGGUGGGGUAUUAGCCCUGACCCAUCUCUGUCUAACUCAGAAGACGGGAAUUUUUGCCAGGCUGGAGCUAAGCACCUGGUGAAGUUGGUUCUAUUAUCCCCAUUUACAGAUGAAGACCCUGAGGCUUAGAAAGACAGAGUAACUUGCCAAUGAC